UGACGUUUUUCAUUCUCAACAGCCCUGGGAAACUCAAGGGCAACAGACAGGGUCAUUGCCAGGAACCAUGUGGACCACGCUGUCGCUGAGAAAGGCAGCCCCUGCAGCUCGGUAGAGUCAUGAUUGAUUAUCGCCUCUGAAAGCUUCCAGGCCAGGACCGGAGCAAACAGGAAUCAGAUGCUUAAUAUCAGAAAAGGCGAGUUACCUUCUCAACUCGACACUCCACCACUUCAAGGAGCUCUGCUAUUUUCUAUUUGUUGCUGUUUGGAGACUUGUGCAGGCUAGCCUCUACCUAACAGGAAUCCCACUGCCUCAGCCUCUCAAGUGCUGGGAUUACCGGCACCAGCGUGGGAAUGGAAGGUGACUUUUCGGCCACCUGUUCUUCCCCUGGACGCCGUGAACCCUGACACCAUGUCCUGGUGACCACUCUUCCUGAAGACAUCAGCCCCUGGAGGACAACCUGGAGGAUGAUUUUAAAAAAACAAAACAAAACAGAACAAAACACAGCCGUCGCCUCAAGGAGAAGAAGAGAUAGUUUAUCCUGGAGUAACCAUGGCCUUUGAACACAGACUCAGGUCCCCAAUUCCAUAUUCCAACCUGGUGACAGAUUCAUGAGUGUUUAUAGGAACAGAAUGAAGGAAGCCAUAAGUCAAGAUGAGUUUUCAAGUACAUUGGCAAAAACAUCAGGCAGAACAUUCUACAGUGUAUUGUUUUUAGACUUCGAUUCUCUUAAAAGUUUUCAAAGAAAAAAAGCUGGAAAGGGAAACUCUGAAAUGGCCUUUGGGAAUUAAAGAUGCAUCAAAUGACUGCGAUGUUCCUUCUGCCUAGAGGCAGAUCCAGCAGAAUGCAUCUGCUUCUUCACACAGAGAGAGAAGACAACCUAACAGAGGCGAGCCUUUCAAGCUGCAAAAAGUAAAUCACCUUAUAAAUUAGAGAGGAUUAGAUAUUCAUGAAGCUAAAAACUUUUUUGUAUCAUUUUGAAUGAGAAAAGACAAAUAAAAAUGAAAAAAAAAGCUA